GAUGAACGCUGGCGGCGUGCCUAAUACAUGCAAGUCGAGCGAACAGACGAGGAGCUUGCUCCUCUGACGUUAGCGGCGGACGGGUGAGUAACACGUGGAUAACCUACCUAUAAGACUGGGAUAACUUCGGGAAACCGGAGCUAAUACCGGAUAAUAUAUUGAACCGCAUGGUUCAAUAGUGAAAGACGGUUUUGCUGUCACUUAUAGAUGGAUCCGCGCCGCAUUAGCUAGUUGGUAAGGUAACGGCUUACCAAGGCAACGAUGCGUAGCCGACCUGAGAGGGUGAUCGGCCACACUGGAACGGAGACACGGUCCAGACUCCUACGGGAGGCAGCAGUAGGGAAUCUUCCGCAAUGGGCGAAAGCCUGACGGAGCAACGCCGCGUGAGUGAUGAAGGUCUUCGGAUCGUAAAACUCUGUUAUUAGGGAAGAACAAAUGUGUAAGUAAUUAUGCACGUCUUGACGGUACCUAAUCAGAAAGCCACGGCUAACUACGUG
rnacentral:rRNA from 1 species